UGGGCAACCUGCCCUCAGCUCUGGGAUAACUCCGGGAAACCGGGGCUAAUACCGGAUAUGACCAUUCCUGGCAUCUGGGGUGGUAGAAAGUUUUUCGGCUGAGGAUGGGCCCGCGGCCUAUCAGCUUGUUGGUGGGGUUACGGCCCACCAAGGCGACGACGGGUAGCCGGCCUGAGAGGGCGACCGGCCACACUGGGACUGAGACACGGCCCAGACUCCUACGGGAGGCA
rnacentral:rRNA from 1 species